AGUGGAUGGGGAACAACCUAGUUGUGCGUGUGUAAAGGUAGUGCCAAGAAAAGCGGUGAUCAUGAUGAAAAUCAAUUCCCGGUACCCGAAACCAACACAGGUGGGCAAGUAGAGAAUACUAAGGGGCGCGAGGUAACUCUCUCCAAGGAACUCGGCAAAAUGACCCCGUAACUUAGGGAGAAGGGGUGCCACCGAGAGGUGGUCGCAGUGAAGUGGCCCAGGCGACUGUUUAGCAAAAACAUAGGUCUCUGCAAACUCGAAAGAGGAGGUAUAGGGGCUGACGCCUGCCCAGUGCCGGAAGGUUAAAGAAGUUGGUCAGUCUUAGGAUGAAGCUAGCGACUGAAGCCCCGGUGAACGGCGGCCGUAACUAUAACGGUCCUAAGGUAGCGAAAUUCCUUGUCGGGUAAGUUCCGACCCGCACGAAAGGCGUAACGAUCUGGGCGCUGUCUCGGAGAGAGGCUCGGCGAAAUAGGAUUGUCUGUGAAGAUACGGACUACCUGCAUUUGGACAGAAAGACCCUAUGAAGCUUUACUAUAGCUUGGAAUUGUGUUUGGGCUUCCUGUGCGCAGGAUAGGUGGGAGGCGUAGAAGGUAUUCUUGUGGGGAUACUGGAGCCAACGGUGAGAUACCACUCUCAGGAGGCUAGAAUUCUAACUUAAUUAAGGACAGUUUCAGGUGGGUAGUUUGACUGGGGCGGUCGCCUCCAAAAAGGUAACGGAGGCGUACAAAGGUUCCCUCAGACUGGUUGGAAAUCAGUCGAAGAGUGCAAAGGCAGAAGGGAGCUUGACUGCGAGAAGUACAGUUCGAGCAGGGUGGAAACACGGUCUUAGUGAUCCGACGGUGCUGUGUGGAAGGGCCGUCGCUCAACGGAUAAAAGUUACUCUAGGAUAACAGGCUGAUCUCCCCCAAGAGUUCACAUCGACGGAGGUUUGGCACCUCGAUGUCGGCUCAUCGCAACCUGGGGCGGAAGUACGUCCCAAGGGUUGGGCUGUUCGCCCAUUAAAGCGGUACGUGAGCUGGGUUCAGAACGUCGUGAGACAGUUCGGUCCAUAUCCGAUGUAGGCGUGAGAAUAUUGAGAGGAGCCUUCCUUAGUACGAGAGGACCGGGAAGGACGCACCGCUGGUGUACCUGUUAUGAUGCCAAUUGUAAACGCAGGGUAGCCAAGUGCGGAGAGGAUAACCGCUGAAAGCAUCUAAGUGGGAAGCCCACCUCAAGAUGAGUAUUCUGGUGUAAGGUCACGGGAAGACGACCCGUAAAUAGGCACGAGGUGGAAGUGCAGAGAUGUAUGAAGCCGAAGUGUACUAAUAGACCGUCGGCUUGA
rnacentral:rRNA from 1 species